UACGUACGAGGCGAGCGUUAUCCGGAAUUACUGGGCGUAAAGGGUGCGCAGGUGGCGGCGCGCGUGGGGGGUGAAAUCGCCCGGCUUAACUGGGCGGGGGCCUUCCAGACGGCGUAGCUUGAGCAGCGGAGGGGGACGUGGAAUUCCGGGUGGAGCGGUGAAAUGCGUAGAUAUCGGGAGGAACACCAGCGGCGAAGGCGGGCACCUGGGCCAACACUGACGCUGAUGCGCGAAAGCUAGGGGAGCAAACAGG
rnacentral:rRNA from 1 species